AACGAACGCUGGCGGCAUGCCUAAUACAUGCAAGUCGAACGAGACCUUCGGGUCUAGUGGCGCACGGGUGCGUAACGCCUGGGAACCUGCCCUUAGGUUCGGAAUAACUCCCCGAAAGGGGUGCUAAUAACGGAUAAUGUCAUCGGACCAAAGAUUUAUCGUCUCUGGACGGGCCCGCGUUGGAUUCACUAGCUGGUAGAGUAGACGCCUACCGAGGCUAUGAUCCAUAGCUGGUCUGAGAGGAUGAUCAGCCACACUGGGACUGAGACACGUCCCAGACUCUUACGGAAGGCAGCAAGGCGGAACAUUGGACAAUGGGCGAGAGCCUGAGGCAGCAGGGCCGCGAGGGUGAUUAAGGCCUGAGGGUUGUGAAGCACUGUUGACCGUGAAGAUAAUGACAGUACCGGACGAAUAAGCGCCGGCUAACUCCGUG
rnacentral:rRNA from 1 species